UACAUUAGCUCUUUUCUAGAAACAUCAACGAUGUGACGUCACAGAAGCAGUGAUGACGUAACAGAAGAACCUGCUUCGUAAGUUAAUUGUUAUACGUCAUAAUCCAAAGUCUUCAAGUUUCCUUGUUUUACAGAAUAUGGUAUGUGACGUCACAGAAGACGGCGAAGCACACGUUGAUGUUGUUGAAGAUGCGGCAGCAAGUCAAAGAAUAAAAAACAAGACGAAGAACAAAGACGAAGACGCCAAUAUAAGGAUGCCGGUUUGAGGUGUUUGUAGGCUUAAGUGUGUAUAGGCCUACU